CUAUUUGGUACCGCUUGCAGGGCGGCGACCACGAGUUACCUGCCCCUAUACAAUGAGUUAAUUGCCCCUGUAUUUCAUCUGUUAAGUUGUACUUAAAAUAGGCUAACUCUUGCGCAAAAAAAGAUAGAAAAUAUCAAAUAUGGGAAAGCGGGACGAUAGACCAAACAUAUCUACGAAGAGACCGUUGGUGCCGGAAAUAUCUCUGUCUUUAGUAGUGUCCGCGAGGUAUAUUAAUUUAUAAAACAUGAGAUAUUAGUACCAUAUUGCCCGGGAAUCAAAAGAUUUUUGCAAGAUCGCAGAAUUCAGCUAGACACAAAAAAAAAGACAAUCACUACAGCCUUCCAAGAAGAUGGACUGCCUCACAAUAGUUUCCUUGAGGACUGUCUUGAAAUAUCCAGAGUUUAAGAUUCAAGAAACGGACUCUAUCUGGAAAAGGAAAACAAUAUCAAAGCUCCUCUGUGAGAAGUUGGCCAAGGAAAGCAUUCAGAAGAAAGUGGAGAUUCAUUGUUUUUACCAGAUCCAGCAGAUCACAGAAAGCAUCUAGUAGGGGAGUUUCCAGGAUUAAGCCAGCCAGUAGAUGAGACUAUUAUAUCAAAAAUACAUUUACUUGUACACGAGGGCACACAAAGCGUUGAUGAAACAAAAAGACAUUUCCGUCUGUUUGUAAAGGAUACUAUUUCACCAGGGAACACCAUCUCAGAAUUUAACAGAUGCUUUUACCCCGCCAAUAAGGAUGUAAGAAAUCACAUUUACAGGGCACCGAGAUUUUGCCAGGUAGUUUAGAACUGUGUGCAUUGGUUUUGGAAGAAUUUGGGCUGUUUAGGCUAAAAUCCAUUAUGAUUGGACAGAAUAUGAACACACACAUCCAAUACUUCAAAGAUAUUAUGUUUGUGGAGGCAGAGAUUUUGAUUGCAUCCACUGUUUAGAAUACAUCCUUAAGGGAAGCAGACUGCCGCCUUUACCCAAUGAUAUAAUGAUUAAUCAUAACUAUAUCUGUUUUGUACCAAAUAGAAAGAGCAUUGAUUCAGGUCAUUUUCAAAUCCACUGGCAUACAUUGUACUAUACAUGCAACCUUUUCAAACUUUACAUUUAAGAUUUUAUAAAGGAAAUAUCUUAAUGUUUCACAUGUUUACCUUUCACUGUGCUAUGUAAUUCAUUAUACCUGCCAUUAUGCCAGUCUUCCUGAACAUAAUUUGUUUUCUGCAAUUUCAUUGGCCAAGAGGCUUAAUCCUGGGUUAUCAGAUUGAGCAUUUAUAUUUAGUAUCCCAUUGAUUUUGUCAGCCCUAUAUAAGGAGCUGACUCAGAUUUACUCACUCUGCUAGGUUAAAGAACUCUAAGGUUUGUACUUUUCACAUGAAUUUCGUGUUCGCCUCUUAUCUUUUACAUAGAGUAGGAAAUGAACAUAACAUUGAGUUAGGGAACUAUUUAGAUUUUACAUUAUAAUAUGUAAAUACCUUAGCAGAGUCAAUUUACUUGGUUCAGGGUAGUAUCAGAUAUUACUUUUUCAGAGUUUAAGUGUUUAGGCUAUCUCAAUGUUUCUAUAGUUAGCCUUGUCCUAUGUUACUUUUAGAUGUAUGGAAGCCUUUUAGUGUUAUAACACUAUAUUUAUGCCCCCAUUCAAAGAAGAGGGGCAUAUUGGUUUGCACCUGUUGGUCGGUCGGUAGACCACAUGUUGUCCGCUUAAUAUCUUAAGAACCAUUCACUUGAUCGUAAUAUAUUUCAUAUGUGGGUUGGUUAUGAAAAGAAGAGGACCCCAAUUGUUUUUCAGGUCGAAAUGUCAAGGGUCAAUCUACUCUGGACAUAGGAAGACACUGCCUGCUCAAUAUCUUGAGAACCCUUUGCUUGACAGACAUCAAACUUGGUACACUGGUACAUCUCAAGGAGUAGAUUUAAGGUCAUAUGGUCAAAGGUCAAGGGGUAAACUGGACAUAGUAAUAUAUUGUCUCUUAUGUUUUAAGAAUUAUUUGCUUGAUUGACACCAAACCUGGUACAGCAUAAGGAGUAGAUGACCCCUAUUGAUUUUUAGGUCACUUGGUCAAUCCACUCCUGACAUAGGAAGAUAUUGUUUGCUCAAUAUUUCGAAUUGAUGAUACUACUAUCAAUCAAAUUAUGCAUAUGUAUAACCCUUUUCAAUUUUGCACCAUGGGGGCUUAUAUGUAAUUGUUUUACAAACACCUCAUGUUUUAUAGUUUGUGAAAGCUUGUUAGGGUCAUAACUUUAGAUUAUCUUAUUAUGGUACUUGCCCGUCAGAGACUGGACAUAUUAUGGUAUGGUGUUGUCUGUCCGGACCUUGUAAGAUGGGAUACAGACUGAACCGUAAGCUCUAGAAUCUUACAACUUGGUAUAUUUGAUCAUCAUAAAAGGAAGAUGCUUAUUGUUUUUUAAGGUCAAGGUUGUAGGUUCACUUAAUAGGAAAACCUUGUUCGAGAAAAUUACAGAUUCUUGAACUGAGUAUUUUGAGGAAACAUUACAUAGAAAGUACAUGAUUUGUCAAAUUUCUCCCAAUAUUCAACUGAGAACCUUAUUCUGCAGAGUAUUUGUAUGGGUAUGGAAAAUGUGUAUGUGGCUAUGAUUUUGAUUUUUGUUUAAAUUUUUUUUGUUGAAAAUUACAGGUUUAACCGAGUCAGUUUUUGAGGAAAUAUACAUGUAUUAAAUAAAUGACGGUUUGACCUUUUAACUCCUCUCACAGUUUUGAAGCUAGGGUCUUUGUAAAUAACUUCUUUGGUGUUUUAGAAUAUUUACAGAUUGUUGAUCAUGGUCAAUUUUGGGGAAAUAUUUUCCGCAGAGCUCUAGUUGUCUAUCUACCGGCCUCCUGUCACUUUUAAGUUUAGGAGCUUUUAUUCAUGGAAAGAAGUAUGUGACAACCUGAUGAUGGCUGAUACUAUUUAAAGCCUUUUUAUACGCCCGUCUUAAGAUGGGACGUAUUAUGGUAUGGCGUUCAUGUCCGUCCGUCUGUUAGCUUUUUCGUGUCCGACCCGUAACUUAAAUACUACAAGGCCUAGAAUCAUCAAACUUUGUCUGUAGAUACAUCUUGGGUAGAAGGUGUGUCGCACAUUAAAACCAGGUCACUGUGACUUUUCAUUAAGAAGAUAUCCGUCUGUCCGUCCGUCUGUUAGCUUUUUCGUGUCCGACCCGUAACUUAAAUACUACAAGGCCUAGAAUCAUCAAACUUUGUCUGUAGAUACAUCUUGGGUAGAAGGUGUGUCACACAUUAAAACCAGGUCACUGUGACUUUUCAUUAAGAAGAUAUCCGUCUGUCCGUCCGUCUGUUAGCUUUUUCGUGUCCGACCCGUAACUUAAAUACUACAAGGCCUAGAAUCAUCAAACUUUGUCUGUAGAUACAUCUUGGGUAGAAGGUGUGUCGCACAUUAAAACCAGGUCACUGUGACUUUUCAUUAGGAAGAUAUGGCCAUAUAUGGCAAAAACUUGUCCGACUCAUAACUUGAAAACUAUUAGACCUAGAAUCACCAAAAUUGGUCAACUAAUGCAUCUUAGGUAGAAGGUGUGUCGCAUCCUACUUUAAGGUCACUGUGACAUUUAAUUAAGGUGAUAUAAAAAAAUGUUUUAAUGGGUACAAUCUAUACUGUUAACAAUAUGUGACGGGCAUAUCAUGUGCCGUGGCGGUGCACUUUAUUCUAGAAAUGGCAUCAGAAAAACACCCUAUGUAACCUUUUCUGCUUGUACUCAUUUAUUUUUAUUGGAAAACUUAUUACUUGUUAUCAGCUACUCUAAAACAAUAUUGACUUGUGCUAUAAUAAAUUUGUAAACUUUA